CUGCCUCCUUGGAAGUAUUGGGAGUGAGUUCUGCCCUUUGGAAUGGGGUCUGUCAGCAGAAGGAGCAGCAACUGCACCUGGAGAUUGCUUCCUUUAGAGCGUGGGGUGAACCCUUGAAACUGGGACUGUGACCUUUCCUGUUUUUGGGGCAUCCUGACCACAUUGAAAUGCUGGCAGAUGUAAGGGCAGCAUUGAUCUCUGGAGACUGUCUCCUGUGGAGCAGGGGGACUUCACCUGACUGCCUCGACUUCUCAAAUACCACUGAGAGUGGCUCGGUGACUGCAGCGGUGAAUUCCCUCAGGGCUCUGGGACUCAUCUCAUCAGGACCCAAAGACUCCUGGAUGUCAGGUUCUCAGGUGGCUGCGGAGUUGCAGCGCUCCCGAGUGCCGUAACGACUGCAUGGAGAUGCGUGGCUCUUCAUGGGAACAGCAAGGAACCGGAAUCUGCAUUUCCUGGAAUGCCCCAGAGCCUCGCUUUGCUGGCUGGUAAUUGUCUGCCCAGCAGGUGGCAGCAGAGCUGCGUUGCUCCUGAGCACUUUAAGGACAGCACGGAGAUGCGCGGCUCUUCAUGGCAGCAGCAGAAACUGGAAUCUGCAUUUCCUGGAAUGCCCCGGAACCUCGCUUUGCUGGCUGGUAAUUGUCUGCCCAGCAGGUGAAGAUGCCUUCGAUGCUUCCAGUUGAUGGCUUCCCCCCUGCCAUGCCAUCGUCUUUCCAGUCCUCCCGCACUCACCGCCUGCUCAGUUCAGUCCAGCCGUUACCUGAAUCCCUGCUCCGUUCCCUUUCCUGAGUGCUGUAAGGACAGCAUGGAGAUGUGCGGCUCUUGAUGACAGCAGCAGGAACCGGAAUCUGCAUUUCCUGGAACGCCCUGGAACCCCACUUUGCUGCCUGGUAAUUGUCUGCCCAGCAGGUGAAGAUGCCUUCGAUGCUUCCAGUCGAUGACUUCCCCCCUGCGAUGCCAUUGGCUUUCCUGGCCUCCCACAGUCACCGCCAGCUCAGUUCAGUUGAGCUGUUACCCGAAUCCCCACUCCGUUCCCUUUCCAUGAUUUCCAUGAUCUUCCUGUCACUCUGCCACAAGCCCCCACCAAGGUCAUCGCAGGCAACGUGUGGGAUGCGGCACUCGGUCUCAUUACAGUUCAUCCCAUCAGCUUCAGCCCAGCGAUCCAACCCACCCGCACCCUUCCUGAGGGCCCUUCUGCUCCCAGGCCAAUCAACGCUUCCUUCUGAUGCCAUCUGCAUUCCUUCCUGGCCACUUUCAGACUCGUGCCCCUUUGUGGCCAUUUUGAGAGUUGCGCUGAUUUCAGCGUCUGCAUUCAAUUGACUUCAACCAAAUUGGCUUUAGCUUUACAUUCAAUUAAUGUAAACCAAAUUGGCUUUAGUUUUACAUCCAAUUAAUGUAAACCAAAUUGGCUUUAGCUUUACAUGCAAUUAAAUGUAAACCAAAUUGGCUUUAAGUUUGCCUUGCUUACGGGGUUGGGUUAGCUUUGCUUUGUUUGUUCUAGCGCAGGGCUAACCCAACCCCGUAACCAAGGGCCGGCGGAGGCGAUUUUGUUCCUUCCCGGCCAGUCUGAGACUCGUGCCCCCUUGUGGCCAUUUGAAGAGUUGCGCUGAUUUCGGCAUCUGCAUUCAAUUAAUCUCAACCAACUUGGCUUUAGCCUUGCAGUCAUUUUGCAUCAACCAAAUUGGCUUUAGUUUUACAUUCACUUGACUUCAAUCAAAUUGGCUUUAGCUUUACACUCAAUUAUUGUAAGCCAAGUUGACUUAGUUUUACAUCUAAUUAAAUGUAAACCAAAUUGGCUUUAGUUUUACAUCCAAUUAAUGUAAACCAAAUUGGCUUUAGCAUUGCCUUGCUUACGGGGUUGGGUUAGCUUUGCUUUGUUUGUUCUAGCGCAGGGCUAACCCAACCCCGUAACCAAGGGCUGGUGGAGGCGAUUUUGUUCCUUCCCGGCCAGUCUGAGACUCGCGCCCCCUUGUGGCCAUUUGAUGAUCUGUGCUGAUUUCAGCGUCUGCAUUCAAUUAAUCUCAAUCAAAUUGGCUUUGGCUUUGCAUUCAACUUAUUUCAACCAAAUUGGCUUUAGUUUUACAUUCAAUUGACUUCAAUCAAAUUGGCUUUAGUUUUACAUCCAAUUAAUGUAAACCAAAUUGG